AUUCAGUUGGGCACUCUAAGGAGACUGCCGGUGUUAAACCGGAGGAAGGUGGGGAUGACGUCAAGUCCUCAUGGCCCUUAUAUCCAGGGCUACACACGUGCUACAAUGGCCGGUACAAAGGGUCGCAAUACCGCGAGGUGGAGCUAAUCCCAAAAAGCCGGUCUCAGUUCGGAUUGGAGUCUGCAACUCGACUCCAUGAAGUCGGAAUCGCUAGUAAUCGCGUAUCAGCGUGACGCGGUGAAUACGUUCCCGGGCCUU
rnacentral:rRNA from 1 species